AAAAUGGCAGUUUCCCCUGCGCUUUUUCUCUCUCCUGUGCCUUGUGAAGAAAGUGCCUGCUUCGCCUUCACCUUCGGCCAUGAUUGUAAGUUUCCUGAGGCCUUCUCCGCCUGCAGAGCUAAAUAGUUGCUCCAUAGAAAAUCCUCCACAGUACUGAAAUGAGGCUGCCUCACCAUUGGGGAUAGUGAAAAGGACAAUUUCCUUUGAACACACUCAUUUUCUGAUUGAAGAGAAUACAGAGAAUGUGGAUUUUCCUGGUGCCAAGUUGUUCUUCCAUUCCUCGGCCAAGUUUCCAUUCUGAUUAACUCAAGAUUCACUUGGAACCCUUUCCUUGCUAUGGCCAUUAAUCCUAAACUGCUUUAUCAGGAACUUGGCCCAAUCUGAGUUAGUUUCCUUCCUUGGAUACCUGCCUUAAACCAGAUCCUCAAACCUCAUAAAUAUCCCUCCUAGAAAAUAAGACUCUGUCAAGGGAGUAUUCUUUCUUAUUUCAGUAGGCAAUGAACUUGAUGCUGUUUUAUCAACAAGUUGAUUAAGUGAUGAUUAGGGUAUCAGUAAUCAACAUUGAUUUGAACCCUGGCUAGCUACAACACUUCCUAGCUGUGUGAUCUUGGGAAACAUUUCUGAGAUGGUUAAUACUGAGUGUCAACUUGAUUGGACUGAAGGAUGUAAAGUAUUGUUCCUGGGUGUGUCUGUAAGGGUGUUGCCAAAGGAGAUCAAUGGACUGGGAGAGGCAGACCCACCCUCAAUCUGGGUGGGCACCAUCUAACCAACUGCUAGCGUGGCUAGAAUAAAGCAGGCAGAAGGACGUGGAAGGACUUGACUUCCUGAAUCUUCUGGUCCUCAUCUUUUCCCCGUGCUGGAUGCUUGCUGCCCUCAAACAUCGGACUCCAAGUUCUUCAGCUUUGGGACUCUUGGACUUACAAGCUCUCUGGCCUUCGGCAACAGACUGAAGGCUGCACUUUCGGAUUCCCUACUUUUGAGAUUUUGGGACUCAGACUGGCUUCCUGGUUCCUCAGCUUGCAGACGGCCUAUUGUAGGACUUCACAAGGUGAUGUCAAUUCUCCUAAUAAAUGCCCCUUCAUCAUAUAUACAUCUAUCCUAUUUGUUCUGUCCCUCUAGAGAAACCUAAUACAAUUUCUUAACCUGUCUGUGCCUCAUUUUUUGCGUAUUUAAAAUGAGUGCCAACCACAGUGGGUUAUUAUAAGUUUUAAAUGAGUUAAUACAGGAGAAGCCCUCAUGUACUUGGCAUAUAACAGGAUCUCAAUAAAUAUGGGAAACGUUGCUCAAAGGGCAGAAACUUUUCAUUAUAAAUUAUGGAGAUCUCAUGUGCAGCCUGGUGACUGUAGUAAAUAAUACUGUAUAAUACUGUAUCGUUUACUUGAAAUUUGAUAAGAGAGUAGAUUUUUG
rnacentral:lncRNA from 10 species